rnacentral:rRNA from 1 species
GAUGAACGCUGGCGGCGUGCCUAACACAUGCAAGUCGAGCGGGGGUUAUAGGGAGCUUGCUCCAGAUAACCUUAGCGGCGGACGGGUGAGGAACACGUGGGUAAUCUGCCCUUUGCAGAGGGAUAACGUCAAGAAAUUGACGCUAAUACCUCAUAAGCUCCCGGCGUGGCAUCGCGCGGAGAGAAAAGAUUUAUCGGCAAAGGAGGAGCCCGCGGCUGAUUAGCUAGUUGGAGAGGUAACGGCUCACCAAGGCGACGAUCAGUAGCCGACCUGAGAGGGUGAUCGGCCACAUUGGAACUGAGACACGGUCCAA